UUUUCAGUUACUGAUUAAGCUAAAUUGUUUGUAUCAGUUGCAUUGUAUUAUGUAUUGCUUUUACACUACUGCUUGUUAAUAUGUGCGCGCGCGGUGUGUGUGUGUGUGUGUGUGUGUAAUGUUUAUGUCUUCCAGAGUCCCUGCAGACUCAGAUUGACAAUCUUGAGAAAACCCGUCUGAAGCAGCUUCAUAUUAUGGAGGCUCGUAUGGCUACAUCAGAGGAAAUCAGUGCUCAAGCUUUGCCUACUAAAUCUACUAAAAAGCGCAAGAAAGUUACACAUGCCAAUGCCCCUGAUGAAGAAGUCCAGCGCCAUACAGAGGACAGGAAGAGCAGGAAUCUAUCUAUCUUUCUUUGUCUGUCUGUCCUUAUUUCUGUUUCUAUAAAAAUGGGGGAAUUUUCCACUGAUCCCUUGAAAUUAAGCAACAGAUGAGGUCAUCGUCUUGCCUGUGAUUGGUUAGUAUGAAUACCUGUUUGUUACCAAGCUUUUCCCAGCUGGGUGCAAAUUGAGAGAGAAUCUAAGAAUAUUUAUAACUUGGUGUGUGUGUAGUUACUGAACACACAUUUAUGCUUGGAUCUAUAUUUGGUAAACAUCAACCUGUCUGAAUGCUGACGGAGUAGGUGUAAACUGUAAUUUUCCAAUAAGUUUUAUGUCAGAGGCAUGAUGAUAUCUUGAUAUAUAAUUCAAGAUCAGUAUCUUGUUUGUCUCUCUCAUCCAUGCAGCUGCAGACUUUCAGCAAAACGUACGUAGGCCUUGCAGGAGCAGGAACUUUAUGAUGUGUUACUCAGCACAAAGAUUUUUUCUUUUCAGUGUUUCACCCGAGCUCGAUGUGGGCGGAAUGCAGCCAUUAGACAGGAACGAGUGGGUGAAAUGUUAGUUAACCGUUUUACCGCCCAUGGCCAUUAUAAUCUAUGUUAUAGCAGCACACAUACCUCCUAUUGGGUUUUUGUUUUUUCCUUUAAAACCUUGGUUGUGAAAUUUUGAAAUGUCAAAUGUUAGUUAUUCUGGAAGUUAUAGUCAUACUGUGUGAUGAGAUUGAAUAUGACUGACAGCACUGAACUGAAACUGUCUUACUGGCCUAUAUUACCGAAGGUUGCAGCUGUCAGCUUGUCUGUGGUCAAUGUAUAAUACCUCACUUCCUCCUUUUUGAACUUUAUCUAUAUUUUUAUACGGCUUCUUUUGUAUAUUUAAUUUCUAAAUUCUAACAAUUAGAUAUCAGUCAACAUUCUCAGAUAUUAUAUGUAUACAGUAGGGUUUUUUAAUGUGAUGUUAGUCGAGGGUGCUGGUAUAAAAUGGAAGUGUCAUGAUUAUAUUUCCAAGUUGUAUCAACAUUCAUACUGUAUUUUAAAUAAGCUCUAUUGAAUAUUGUCAAAGUUAAAUAUACUGUAAUGCCAGACAAGAAACUAUUAUACUUUUAUAAAUGAUAAAAUGAGCAAAAAUGUAUAAAUGCAACUAUUCAAAAUAAAGUUGUAUAAAUUGCCCCCUUGUGGCUGUAC
ensembl:lncRNA